rnacentral:rRNA from 1 species
CCUACGGGUGGCAGCAGUGAGGAAUAUUGGUCAAUGGACGCAAGUCUGAACCAGCCAUGCCGCGUGCAGGAAGACGGCUCUAUGUGUUGUAAACCGCUUUUGUCCGAGGACAAAUGCCGGUACUUGUACCCGGUUGAAAGUAUCUUACGAAUAAGGAUCGGCUAACUCCGUGCCAGCAGCCGCGGUAAUACGGAGGAUUCAAGCGUUAUCCGGAUUUAUUGGGUUUAAAGGGUGCGCAGGCGGCCUGUUAAGUCAGCGGUAAAAGCCCGGGGCUCAACCCCGGAGAGCCGUUGAAACUGGCGGGCUGGAGUGGGAGAGAAGUAGGCGGAAUGCGUGGUGUAGCGGUGAAAUGCUUAGAUAUCGCGCAGAACGCCGAUUGCGAAGGCAGCGUACCGGAUCCAGACUGACGCUGAGGCACGAAAGCGUGGGUAUCGAACAGGAUUAGAUACCCCAGUAGUC